rnacentral:rRNA from 1 species
CACGUAGGCGGACUGGCCAGUCAGAGGUGAAAGCCCGGGGCUCAACCCUGGAACUGCCUUUGAUACUGUCAGUCUAGAGAUCGGGAGAGGCGAGUGGAAUUCCGAGUGUAGAGGUGAAAUUCGUAGAUAUUCGGAGGAACACCAGUGGCGAAGGCGGCUCGCUGGCCCGAUACUGACGCUGAGGUGCGAAAGCGUGGGGAGCAAACA